rfam:Pteropus alecto contig59158, whole genome shotgun sequence.
AUCUACGGCUGUGCCACCCUGAACAAGCCCGACCCCGUCUGAUCUUGGAAACUAAGCAGGGUCGGUCCUGGUCCGUACUUAGAAGGGAGACCACCUAGGAAGACCAGGUGCUGUAGGCG